GACGAACGCUGGCGGCGUGCCUAACACAUGCAAGUCGAGCGGGGGGAGUUCUUCGGAACGAACCUAGCGGCGGACGGGUGAGUAACACGUGGGCAACCUGCCUUGAGGAGGGGGAUAACAGGAUGAAGUCCUGCUAAUACCGCAUAACCCGGUGCUGUCGCAUGAUGGCAUCGGCAAAGGAGCAAUCCGCCUCAAGAUGGGCCCGCGGCGCAUUAGCUAGUUGGUGGGGUAACGGCCUACCAAGGCGACGAUGCGUAGCCGACCUGAGAGGGUGAUCGGCCACAUUGGAACUGAGACACGGUCCAGACUCCUACGGGAGGCAGCAGUGGGGAAUAUUGCACAAUGGGCGAAAGCCUGAUGCAGCAACGCCGCGUGAGCGAUGAAGGCCUUCGGGUUGUAAAGCUCUGUCUUCGCUGACGAAAUCUGACGGUAAGCGAGGAGAAAGCCACGGCUAACUACGUG
rnacentral:rRNA from 1 species